rnacentral:rRNA from 1 species
AGUACGAGAGGACCGGAGUGAACGAACCACUGGUGUUCCGGUUGUUUCGCCAGAAGCAUUGCCGGGUAGCUACGUUCGGACGGGAUAAACGCUGAAAGCAUCUAAGCGUGAAGCCUCCUUCAAGAUUAGAUCUCUCUGAUGAAAAUCAGUAAGGAACGUUGGAGACUACGACGUUGAUAGGCUGGGUGUGGAAGUACAGCAAUGUAUGAAGCUUACCAGUACUAAUGAUCCGAGAGACUUAA